UACGAAAGGGGCAAGCGUUGUUCGGAAUUACUGGGCGUAAAGCGCACGUAGGCAGCGAUGUAAGUUGGGGGUGAAAUCCCGGGGCUCAACCCCGGAACUGCCUCCAAAACUACAUGGCUCGAGGAUGUGAGAGGUUGGCGGAAUUCCGAGUGUAGAGGUGAAAUUCGUAGAUAUUCGGAAGUACAGCGGUGGCGAAGGCGGCCAACUGGCACAUUUCUGACGCUGAGGUGCGAAAGCGUUGGGAGCAAACAGG
rnacentral:rRNA from 1 species